ACUAAUUUUACCUCCGUCCAGCCAGCUGCACUUACAUAAGAAAGUGGCACUAAAUAGUUUUAUUACUGCAUCGUUCAUUCGAUUUUCUGGAGUAACAGAAGCAAGGGAAUUAGAUAUUAUUUUAGCAGUAGCGAUAAAAUUACUUUUAUCGCUCAACAAUCGUUCAAAAUUGUCUAACGCUUCUUUGUUUUCAAUUUCAGCCGGUCUUGGCGAUUCAUCGACAGUCUCUGUCGAAGAACUACUAGCACUACUAGCAGAGCAAUUUGGACAGGUAAAGAUACGGGACAGGUAGUUUUUUCUGUCCCUACCCAGUCCGCAAAAGCCGAAGUUUUGUAUGGGAUCGUGUUGUACACAUAUGGACCCACCCAAGUAGCAGAGCCGAAGUUGUUGAGAGAUUUUGCUGUGUGCCAAAGCGAGAGGCCCUGUCUUCUCUCUCUAGAUUUUGGACGGCAAACCGCCGCCCGUGCAGAGGUGUGUGCGUGUGACGAAAAAUUAUGGAUGAAAUACGGGGGAAGCGGGGUUUGAAGUCUUUCGUUCGUCACACACACAUGCAUUUACCAGCGGAUAUCGCUGGACCGAGUCUACCCAUCCCUCUCGAUCCACCAUGAUUUUUCUGCUAUCGCGCUCAUCCGGGUGUUAGGCAUCCUCAGUCUGUCCAGAACUUUCCCUGUGGAAGGAUGUACUGAAGUGAGGUGCGAUUUCUUGUGCAACGUACUUUGCUCAUUUACGUUUUGUGCCGUGUUCCUUCUUCCUCAGUUAUGGAAUGAUUUAUCCUAGCAAAUUGUUGAGUUACAGGUGUGUGCGCUAUUUAUCAACGACUACCUGCUAGCCUCGUCAACAAUCUUCAAAGUGAGCGACGGAAAGAAAACAUUUUCCAGUAUUAAAAUAUUAAGCCCCCGGUGAGGACGUCAUUACUUAACAGAAGCCGGUUCAACACGCGCAGCUCCUGUUCAUGACGUCAUCACGAAACUGAAGCUAGCUGAACACGCGCAGCACGGAUGGUACCCCGAGCGCAGUAGGAGGAAGGAAGAACGAGAGGAGAAAGAACGGUAAAUUUGGAAGGGGGAAAGCGCUCUGCCGUCUACACAGCGGGAGUAUGCCAAAACACUUGUGGGAAGGGAGAGGGAUAUUAUUCAAUAAACAGCAUGCAUGUGUGUGUAAAGCAAA